CGCCCCCUUUACCUGCGGCUCCGGCUCCUCGGCCAUUUCCUCGCUCGGCGGCGGCCGGGACUGAACUGACACCACACGAGCGAGCCGAGACCGUUAACUCCAUCAAGAGCACGGAUUUGUCCAAACUCACGCUCGGCCACGCCUUCCACAUUUCUCCACCUUGGGACAGGUCGAGUGGACUAGAGCACUGAUAUUUCGAAAAACUUCUCUGCCAACAGCAAGGCCGGUGUGGCCCCGGGAGGCUAGCUGAUAAGCGCUGCCAUUUACUGCAUUCUCGAUGUGUGCUUUUUACUCCAUAACUCAUUCAAUCCUCCUAAGGACCCUUUGAGGGAGGGCGUGUAUUUUCCCAUUUUUGUAGAUGGAAGAACCUGGGCACAGAGGGAUCACAGGACUCUGCCAAGCCCGCUGGUAAUAAGCAGCAAAGUUAGAGUAAAUCUAGCACCUGCCUCCAGGGCCUUCGUCCUUACCCACAGGUAUGAUGGCCUCCCCCGCCGGGUCUCCAACCUCAGCUCCCAACUCCCCCUUUCCCCCUCCCACUGGCCAAGCCUCACCCCCACACCUCAUGGUGUAUCCCCAGGACCUUGAACCAUGCCAAGCGCACAGGGAUGUUCACUAUACACCGGGCGAAAAAUGAGGAAAUGGCCACACGUGCCAGGCAGCGGAUAUCCACUAUCUCUUACAUUCUCCUAGAAACAUAACCAAAUGACUAUUUUUAGUCUUGCUUUACACGCAAGAGGUUAAGUAUGCCUUCAACCCACAGAAUGCACACCUACUGUUAUGUGCCUGGCGUUGUUUCCCACAUGCUGGGGACACAACCGUAAGGUACGUGAACUCUUGUGUUUACAGUGCCCCCAUUCCAGCAGAAAUGCAGACAAGCACAUGUCUGUCACACUGAUCUUUUCAAAAGUCAGAUCUGAUUACGUCAGGGCCCUGCCUAAAACUCUCAAGCUCUCUCAGGACCAAAACAGAAUUGCGGACGAUGUGGCUGGCAGGAACUGGCAGACCCUGCGAAGGCUUCGGAUUUUACUCCAAGGGCACGGGAAGCCACUGAAAGAAAAGGGAAGUAAAAUCGAGAAAGAACUACUGAACUUCACGAUUAUCUCCUCAAAGAUCUCAUCCUGGCCAAACAAAGAGGACAUGGAAGACUUGACGACGCUGUGGUCCUUCAACUUCACGCAGACAGACACCUUCCUCUUCAGUGUCCAGGCUAUGACCAUGAGAAUCAAAGCUGUCACUGAUGAGAACGUUUGGCGCUGGGCUAGCUGUCAUCCUAGCAAGCUUCACCCCUUUAGUUGUUACUGCCUUUUCUUUAAAAAGAACAAACUGAGACUCAGGAUGGUUAAGUAGCCCGCCUGACGUCACGGGGCUAACAGUUUGUGUCCCUACCCUCCCUCCAGACUACACCGAGGCCAACGGGCCAUUUGAACCUGAGGUCAAACCUCAGCUCUGCCACCAACCUAAAUUUCCUCACUUCUAAAAAUCUACACUGAUGUACAUUUCUAGACACUCUAUUUCCUGAAUGUUCACCAGUCGACCGUGUGCAGCUCUGGGGCAAGGGUAAAACAUCCUCCCCCUAACCCUCCUCCCCUCCCCCCAUUUCUGGACCAGCAAGAGUUUACUUGGUCGCCCCCGGGCUAGUCCCCUCCCUCCUCCCUCCUCGGUCACUCCCUUGCAUUCUUGGUGUACCUGUGUACUUAUCGGUCUUCCCCAAUACACGGCAACUCUCCUUUGAAAGCAAGGAAGAAAGGUCAUGCAAAUUCACGUCCCAACAGCAAUUAGCAGAGUGCUUUUUGCAUAGAGCUGGGAGGCAACAAAUGUUUAUAAAAUGGAGGUGUCCUGGACUAGGUCUCACAGGCCUUUACAUGGCCCCAGGAGCUAAUCAGUUAGUAGAUCUACAGACCCUACUAUCAUCCCACGAGCUCACACACACACCCUUUCCUUUCCGUUCCGUUCCCACUGUCCUUGUUUCUUGUUUUCUUCUGAUCUGUAUAAUAAUCUCAUAACCAGUUCUCUUGAAUCUGUCUUCUUCCUAGCCCAGAACAGCUUUUUCCAAACCCCACUAAUAACCAUCCUACAACUGCCCUGUGCAAAAAAAUCUCAAAUUUUACCAAAAUAAGUCAAAAUAAGUUUCCUCUCUUAGGAUGUAAAACCACACCGUGGCCCCAGCCAACCUUUUAACCAGAUGCAUUCCAGAAAUAUAUACUGACAACUCCUUUGUCCCAGCCGCUUGGCUAAAUAGUGAUUAAAGAGAGAGGUACAAAACAAAUUGUAUUUCUGCCCUCGUGGAGCUUAUAUCUUAAUAGGAGAACUAUAGACAUUAAACAUAUUUUUUUAAAAAAUAAAUAGAUAAGCAUAUAAUUAUAGUACCUGCCCUAGAGUAAUAAUCAGUCAAGGUACACAAGAAGCACACACAAGGGUAUUCACUGCAGCACUGUUUAUGAUAGCGAAGAAUUAGAAAUAACCUGCAUGUCCAUCAAAAGGAAAAUGGCCACAUAAACUAUGGUAUAUCUAAAUUUAAGAAUACAGACAGCGGUCAGAAAGAACGAUAAGUGGCUAAAUCACCAGGACAUUGUGGAGGAAAAAAUAAAAGAAUCAAGCUAUGCCGUUUUUUUUAAAGCACACACACUAUAUUUUCUAAAGGAAAUAUAUGAACAUGUAUAAUAUAUAACUAUGUGUCUGUAUAUAUGUAUACACAUAAUACAUACCUAUGUUUAUAUAUACACACAUAAGAAACAUGGAUGCCGAUCAUUUCACUGUACAAAUAUUGAAUAAUUACACUGUGCGCCUGAAACUAAUGUUCUAUGUUAAUUAUCUCUAAAUAAAUAAAUGAGAAAUAAAUACAUAUGCAAAUACCUUAAAGUUGGGAAGACCCCAUACCAAAAGUGGUUAAUUCUUACAUGUGGGCAAAGAUCCAGGUCAAUAUUUAGUGGUGGCUAAAGGUUUUGAUCUUUUUACAUGUAAAACAUUGAUAUUUCACCUGUAUAAUUAAAACUUAGCUUCCCAUUAACACAAUUCCAUACUGUGCUCAUGCUGUGUUCAAAAAUGAAAAAUAAAAUGUUUAGGGUUUCCA